rnacentral:rRNA from 1 species
UACGGAAGGCAGCAGUGGGGAAUAUUGCACAAUGGGCGCAAGCCUGAUGCAGCCAUGCCGCGUGUAUGAAGAAGGCCUUCGGGUUGUAAAGUACUUUCAGUCGUGAGGAAGGUGUUAAGGUUAAUAACCUUAGCAAUUGACGUUAGCGACAGAAGAAGCACCGGCUAACUCCGUGCCAGCAGCCGCGGUAAUACGGAGGGUGCGAGCGUUAAUCGGAAUUACUGGGCGUAAAGGGCACGCAGGCGGUUAAUUAAGUUGGAUGUGAAAUCCCCGGGCUUAACCUGGGAAUGGCAUUCAAGACUGGUUAGCUAGAGUCUUGUAGAGGGGGUAGAAUUCCAUGUGUAGCGGUGAAAUGCGUAGAGAUGUGGAGGAAUACCGGUGGCGAAAGGCGGCCCCUGGACAAAGGACUGACGCUCAUGUGCGAAAGCGUGGGGAGCAAAC